AGUGAACGCUGGCGGUAGGCCUAACACAUGCAAGUCGAACGGCAGCACAGUAAGUUCUUGCUCUUCCGGGUGGCGAGUGGCGUAAGUGAGAGGUGUAUAUCGGACUCUACUUUUUCGUGGGGCUUCACGUAGGGAGACUUACUCUAAUAUCGCAUACGCCCUACCGGUGAGGGCAGUGGAUCUUCUCGCCUUGUGCGAUUGAAUGCGCCGCUGUCGGAUGAGCUAGUUGGCGGGGUAAAGGCCCACCAUGGCGAGGAUCCGUAGCUGGACUGAGAGGAUGAUCAGCCACACUGGAACUGGGACACGGUCCAGACUACUACGGGAGGCAGCAGUGGGGAAUAGUGGACAAUGGGCGCAAACCUGAUCCAACCAUACCGCGUGGGUGAAGAAGACCUUCGGGUUGUAAAGCCCGUUUGUGGGGAAAGAAAAGCAGCAGGUUAAGACCCCGCGGGUCUGACGGUACCCAAAAAAUAAGCACCGGCUAACUUCGUG
rnacentral:rRNA from 1 species